GCCUAUGGCCAUACAAGUCUGAAAGUUCCUGAUGUUGUAAAAUCUCAGAAGUCAUGCAGACUUGGGGCUGAUUAGUACUUGUAUGGGAGACCAACUAGGAACCUCAGGUGCCGUAAGCU
rnacentral:rRNA from 1 species